GACGGAGGAUGCAAGCGUUAUCCGGAAUGAUUGGGCGUAAAGCGUCCGCAGGUGGCAGUUCAAGUCUGCUGUCAAAGACCGGGGCUUAACUUCGGAAAGGCAGUGGAAACUGAACAGCUAGAGUAUGGUAGGGGCAGAGGGAAUUCCUGGUGUAGCGGUGAAAUGCGUAGAGAUCAGGAAGAACAUCGGUGGCGAAGGCGCUCUGCUGGACCAUAACUGACACUCAGGGACGAAGCUAGGGGAGCGAAUGGG
rnacentral:rRNA from 1 species